UCCGUGGUAACACCACGGCAGUCCCUGGUGACACAAAUAACACCAGGCAAGGGUUGCGCUCGUUGCGGGACUUAACCCAACAUCUCACGACACGAGCCGACGACAGCCAUGCAGCACCUGUAUACCGACCACAAGGGGGGCCGUAUCUCUACGGCUUUCCGGUAUAUGUCAAACCCAGGUAAGGUUCUUCGCGUUGCCUCGAAUUAAGCAACAUGCUCCGCUGCUUGUGCGGGCCCCCGUCAAUUCCCUUGAGUUUUAGCCUUGCGGCCGUACUCCCCAGGCGGGGUACUUAAUGCGUUAGCUUCGGCACGGAACCCGUUGAUAAGGCCCCACACCUAGUACCCAACGUUUACGGCGUGGACUAC
rnacentral:misc_RNA from 1 species